UCUCUCUCUCUCUCUCUCUCUCUCUCUCUCUCUCUCUCUCUCUCUCUCUCUCUCUCUCUCUCUCUCUCUCUCUCUCUCUCUCUCUCUCUCUCUCUCUCUCUCUCUCUCUCUCUCUCUCAAACCCAAAGCGCCCAUCACUGCCCUGGUCACCGUAAUAUCGCCACUUAGGGUCCUCCGGUAAAGUAACGUGUCAUUUAAGGGGUCACUACUACUUUUUUCUUCUUUUUUUAUAAGUCGAGGUAAAACUUUCCAUGAGUUAUAUUUAUGUAUAUAUAUAUGUAUUCAUAUAUAUAUUUUUUUUAUUUGUAAAUACGCCGAUUUUUUUCUCCCUUUUCUUUGUUUUUGCCGCCACUACGCCCCCACCACCGUAACUAGCGCCACGCCCACUGCCGCCGACGCUCGCAGCUUAUGAUCUUGCCUUGUUUCCAAUACGAAUUGUCUCCAGUAUCUCAUGCCGUUUGGAGACAGUAACGUUCAAGUUAUCAUAUUCUUGGUUCAGUUCACUAUUUUUCACUAGUCCACGUGGGGCGCUGGCGUGCAUUUGCAGUUUGUUGAGGACCCUCGCCGCCCCCGCUAAGGGCCCGCGCGACAUCGACCUUCAGUGUCCUGAGGGAGGGGGUUGCCAGGACACAACCACCACCAACACAAAAUAUUGGCCAGGGGUGCCACCAGCAACCCUGAGACCUCCGCCACCGCCACGCCGCAAUAAAGCGCUCGUCUCCUAGGUCUGCCUCCCUCCAGCAGCCUUGGGUCGUUGUCAUCACUGCGUCACGUCUGCCACACACCUUGUUGAACCAAAUGGGGGGAGGGUGUUAUCUGGGUUCAAAUAUUAAAAAGAGAAAGAAGAAAAGAAAAAAAAUCAAGCAAUAUGCACUAUGUUUUUAUGUUGUUGUUGUUGUUGUUAUUAUUAUUAUUAUUAUUAUUAUUAUUAUUAUUAUUAUUAUUAUUAUUAUUAUUAUUAUUAUUAUUAUUAUUAUUAUUACUACUACUACUACUACUACUACUACUACUACUACUACUACUACUACUACUAUUUAGACGUUCUAAUAAAUCUUAAUCGUGCAAGUGCUUUAUUUUUUGUGUCUUUGUAGAGAGUCUCAAGUCAUUGUGUCUGUUAUGGAUCUUAGCUGUUGUUCAUUCACUUCAUUUUUCAAUCAGUUAAAUUUGUCAGUUAAUACCUCAAUCAAGAGUUUAGAAUUUAAUCAGUCAGAUCGUUUAAGCCAGUAAAAAUCAUUUAUUGAUCUCUCAUUCAAUGAAUUUCUUUGCCAAAGAAAUAUUUCUGCCGUUACGGUAAAAAGUAAACUGACCGUUCAGUCAGAAAAUCAGUUAGUCCGUCCGUCCGGCAAUUAGGCAUCCAUUCAGUCAAUCGUGAACCAGUCCAACGCAUCCGCGCUCCCACUACCAUCACCUACUACCACAAUAUUGCGAGUGAAUCCGCAGCCUUUCCUAGGUACUAUAGUCGCCGCAGCGCCUUACUACUCGCUCCGCUACUCACCAGAGCUUGCCCUCACAUGUCAUUUCCUCUCCAUCUUUCUGUCAUGCCUCUACUUUUAUACCAGGAACAAACAGGAAUACUCAUUCGGAUCUAUGCUGCUAUGCUACAUACCUCUCUUAUUCUCCUUUCUUUCAUAGUGAUUGUUGUUAUUGUUGUUGUGUUUGUGUCAUCUUGUUUGGACUGAUUGAUUGUUUUGGGGAUAUGACUUUUAUUUUAUAUUUUUAAAAUAUUUGUUUAUUAUUUUUUUUUCUGACUGCGGAUUCACUCUACCCGCCGCUACGGGUCCUAACAGCCGCGAGACUACCUGUGUGUUGAUGAUGAUGAUGAUGAUGAUGAUGAUGAUGAUGAUGAUGAUGAUUGGUGAUGAUGAUGAUGAUGAUUAUGAUGAUUGGUGAUGAUAAUUUGGAUAGUCAUAAAAUACUGACACCAGCACCUGACAACUUUAGCAAUGCACCUCUUAUAUAAUCACGGUUGCUGUUUUUUUUUUUUUAGAGAUUUUUCGUUACUCUCUCUCUCUCUCUCUCUCUCUCUCUCUCUCUCUCUCUCUCUCUCUCUCUCUCUCUCUCUGCCUCCUCCUCCCGCUGUGGCUGUCAUAAAAAGGAGAGGGUUUUGGUCGCCUUGUUGGCCUCACUGCUGCCUCUCAGAUACCUAACACCGCGGCGACGCUUCCUUAGGUAGAUGUCUACUGUUAACUUGUUUCUUGUUUUUUUUUUUUUCCAUCUUUGUGGAAGUGGAUCAUGGGGGUGGACUGGAGCGGUGGGUUGGUACUACUGUAAAGUAGUAAUGUUAAUUUAAGUAAGGCUAGUUUGCCAUUAAUUUUCAUCAUUACGUUUUAAUCUCAUAGUAUUAGUUACUUUCCAGUUUUCCCAAUCUACAACUUAUAGGUACUUGUAACAAAAUUUACGACUUUUUAUAAUAACGAGAUAAUCAUUCAUACACCAAGUAAUUUGAUCUUGUCCUUGUUUUACAACGUCUUUCAUGAUACCACGAUGGUCUUGUCCUGCAAGCUCUGCUCGUUUCUAAAAGUUUAGAUUUGAUCCUCAGCUUUAGACUCUAUGCCUUGCGCUGCUUUAAGUCCUCUGUGACUCCGACGCGCCUGACGUUAUCCCUUUGAUGAGCCGCUAUUUGUUAGGUUUUCUUUUUUCUUACUUGUUUCUCCCGCACGCCAAUACACUUAUACUAUCAACAUGUAGUUGCCAUGGACUUAUUGUAAUUUGUAAUUUAUAGUUCAUUCAAAGUACAUUGUUUGUGUUUCAUUUAUGCACUUUUAUAUAAUGUCAUUCGUUUAGCUCUGUUUUAAUUUUUUUUUAUAUUUCAUAGUGGUGCAUAGUGAUUGUUGUGUUUCUUAUCUUAGCAUCAUCCGCACGUGCGUUGCUAUCUUUCACAACACUUACGCAGAUCACCACGCCAAAAUCCGCAAUACCGCCUCGUGAAGCAGUCUGGCCUUCUCGAAACUGUUACUGUCACCGUAAUGGAGAAAGGGGCAAAUUCCCUUCUACCUUUCCUGGGCCGCGUCAGGAGUCUUAGGUCGUGCUCACAAUCGGCUACAGCUUUCCUAGUUAAGAUUCAAGCGAUAGGUGGAAGCUGUGGUUGAAAGAGACCCCGACUUGUGUCCCCGGCGCACCGGCUCUCCCCUCCCUUUCUCUACCUUAGGCCACAGAGCACGUCGGUCGCGGGUCACCUCCAGAAAUGUGAGGCACCCACCCCUCUCCCUUUACUCUUCCGGCGGACACACCCAUACGUCUGAAAGUAAACUAAGGGGCGUGUCUCGGCGUGCUCAUGACCAACCAUAUCUUUCUUUUCGAAUUUGCCCCGCCCCCGUCUGGCAGCGCGUUGUUAGAUGUACGAUAACAAGCACUUUCCAUCAGAAAGUCGGCUUGCAACGACAACGACGACCAACAUCAACCCUCGCAGCGGGACCAACCUUGUUAUUCUUUUCCUCACCUCUCUUCCUCCUAUCCUCCCUUACCCAUUCAUUCAGUAGCCUUCUCCUGAACCCUGAGUGUUCUAUCCUUCCAUACUAUUUUUUUUUGUUUGUUUGUUUUUUGAUGUUAGGGACAUGCUUACGGAAACAGCACAUUUCCGGGAAAUGGCCAGACUUCUUCAAACCUUCAGGCACUGAGUUUCCAGUAUUUACACAUUCUUCCUUACAAAGAACUCAAGGCGAGCCAGGCAAACUUUUCAAACAUAAAUUCAAAAUGUUGACGUUAUCAACAAAAGAAGUGUCACCUGCACAUGUGGCUGUAAUAUUUUCCUUCAGAGGACACGCGUAGUGAAUCAAAGCUAUUGUCGAAAAACCCAAGGUGCGCGGCCCCCACAGCCUCGUCCUGUCACCGCAACAUGAUGGGCGAAUCUCCGGUACUUUUUUUCCUCUUUUUUUUAUUUAUUUUUUUUAACCUUACAUCCUUCCACACACCCUGACGAGGCUUUCCUGUUCAUGAAAGCCUCCUGUCCUUUCGUCCUCAUUUUGCCUCGCUCUCACCUGAGGCUCUUUUUAAUACACUAGAUAUCCUUUUCCUGCCAUGAGACUCGCCCGCCCCCGUGUGGCUCUCUCGCGUGUCGUCACCAGCAGCAGCACCAGUGGCACUCCUACGUCGGCACCCUCACCCCCUGACCGGGGCACCACUACUCAGGUCAAACAGGCAAGGUAGUGAGGAUACAUGACACGUCCUCCUAGACCUUAUGUACUCCGUCCUGACAGCCUCUUCCUCUUCUUCCAUGUUGACACAAACAUUUCAUUCCUCCUCGUCUUCUUUUACCUUCUUAAUUUUAACAUCCUAGGAAAAGUAAAACUUGCGGAAACAGAACAGGCUGAGGGCGAGUCGCCGCAUGUUGGGUGAGUCACGAACAUAAAAGGAAAUUACACAUGUUCACCACAACAAAGCAUGUGUCGGUACAUACUUAGCGGGCUUCGGGCGCUGUAAGGACGGAAGCAAUCUGCCGGCUUCCCCACACUUGGCUCUUAUUACCGCAAUUUUGCCGGCGAAUCCCACUUCCUAAUUCCGUCUCCUCACUACCACAUUUCCCUUUGUUAUUUAUUCUUCCUCCUACGUGAUGUGACGCUUGGGGUCAGGACGGGAGCACUCAUGACCUCCAUGUCAGGAAGUCCCCUUACUGCCUACCGAACACCACCUCCGCCACUCCGCCAAACGCCUGCUGCUGGCUGGGUGUUGCUUGGCUAUUCGCUAUUCGCGGGUGUCGGUUGCUGUUUGAGGGAGUUCCUGCUGGAGCUGCCACAGCGCUCUCAGCCCUGGCCUCGCGCCUUACACCGUCUUGAUCCUUGUCUCUGCACGGGAUUCGUCCUGACCCCCGUCGGGCUUUCGCGUAGAGACCAACGGUUGACACAGCAGCGAGAGGUUAGAAGAAGGACCAAGAGAGGUGAUAGGGGAACAUAAUAUAUAUGCAUUGUAUUUUUUAUAUUUCUCUUUAUAUAUUCUUUCUCUACUCUCUGUCUCCUCCCUCCCGUCCUUCCUCCCGUCGCUGUCCUUCAGGAAACAGUUGAAUCACCUGACUUGCGGAAGUGGGACCAUGAGUGGAUGGUUGUCGGUAGAUUACUUGUAAAUAAGUUAAUUUAGUGGCAGAAAAGCAGGGAACCGAGAGGCAGACUUGUUACUGGUGGACUCAGCUGGUCAUUUCUUCUAUUCGAAUGAUAACAGAAUAUUACUCUUGCCCAACUUCCUGUAUGUUGUUCUUCCUGGUCUAUUAUUGCCCUCAUGUCACGUCAAAACACACACACACACACACACACACACACACACACACACACACACACACACACACACACACACACACACACACACACACAUACAUCCAAAAAAAUCACAUCAGAUGCACCAAUAGGAUAAAAAGAAAUUCUGUAAAAAAAAAAAAAAAAAAAAAAUAUCCCUUGCAGAAAUCAGUGUAAUAAAGAAACACAAGUAUAAUCUUAACGAGGCACACCCGAGCACCUUAAAGUGUGGCCGACCCUAGACUUGCGUUUGCUCCUUGUUGUGGUUCUCUUU